rnacentral:rRNA from 1 species
GACGAACCGUGCGAACGUUGUUCGGAAUCACUGGGCUUAAAGGGCGCGUAGGCGGGUUCGCAAGUCGGGGGUGAAAUCUUUCAGCUUAACUGGAAAAGUGCCUCCGAUACUGCGAGUCUCGAGGGAGGUAGGGGCAUGUGGAACUUCCGGUGGAGCGGUGAAAUGCGUAGAUAUCAGGAGGAAUACCGAUGGCGAAGGCAGGUCUCUGGGCUGACACUGACGCUCAUGCACGAAAGCGUGGGGAGCAAACAGG